UACGGUAGGGUGCAAGCGUUAAUCGGAAUUACUGGGCGUAAAGCGUGCGCAGGCGGCUUUGCAAGACAAGACUGUGAAAUCCCCGGGCUUAACCUGGGAACUGCAUUUGUGACUGCAUGGCUGGAGUGCGGCAGAGGGGGAUGGAAUUCCGCGUGUAGCAGUGAAAUGCGUAGAUAUGCGGAGGAACACCGAUGGCGAAGGCAAUCCCCUGGGCCUGCACUGACGCUCAUGCACGAAAGGCGUGGGGAGCAAACAAGG
rnacentral:rRNA from 1 species